rnacentral:rRNA from 1 species
CACACCGCCCGUCACACCAUGGGAGUUGAUUGCACCAGAAGUAGGUAGCCUAACCGCAAGGAGGGCGCUUACCACGGUGCGGUCAAUGACUGGGGUG